rnacentral:snoRNA from 1 species
GGCCUCAGGAGGUACCUGCUGGGUAUUCAAAGGACAGUGCAAUAUAAAUGCAGUAUCUGGCAUCGUUGGUUUUCUUGGCUCUGUGCAUGUUAAACCUGAUAUUUUUAUUGACACACUA